AAAAGUCAGAAGUAAAAGACCCGAAGCUGAGUGAUCUAACCAUGAACAGGUUGAAGAAAAUGCGGUAGCGCUUUUUGGAGGACCGAACUCGUGUCUGUAGAAAAAUACUGGGAUGAUUUGUGGUUAGGAGUGAAAGGCUAAUCAAACUCAGGUAUAGCUGGUUUUCUGCGAAAUAUAUUUUAGUAUAGCCUGCAAAAU
rnacentral:rRNA from 1 species